GACGAACGCUGGCGGCGUGCUUAACACAUGCAAGUCGAACGGAAAGGCCCCUUUGGGGGUACUCGAGUGGCGAACGGGUGAGUAACACGUGAGUAACCUGCCCUUGACUUCGGGAUAACUUCAGGAAACUGGGGCUAAUACCGGAUAGGAAUCCUUGCUGCAUGGUGGGGGUUGGAAAGCUUCGGCGGUUUUGGAUGGACUCGCGGCUUAUCAGCUUGUUGGUGGGGUAGUGGCUUACCAAGGCUUUGACGGGUAGCCGGCCUGAGAGGGCGACCGGCCACAUUGGGACUGAGAUACGGCCCAGACUCCUACGGGAGGCAGCAGUGGGGAAUAUUGCACAAUGGGCGGAAGCCUGAUGCAGCAACGCCGCGUGCGGGAUGACGGCCUUCGGGUUGUAAACCGCUUUCAGCAGGGGCGAGGCUUGUGGUGACGGUACCUGCAGAAGAAGCACCGGCUAACUACGUG
rnacentral:rRNA from 1 species